AGCCUUGACACGGUGCCUUAUCUCCCAGCAACACCGCCUCAGCCCCCCGGGUGUGUUCCCACCCUUUCCUCCUGUAACCAAAACCCUCGAUGCCCAUAGAGGGUCUUAUUUAUAAACUAUAUAAAUACCCUUAGUGGGCCCCGGACCAAGUAGCUGCUCAGAUUGCCCUUUCUAAUCCUACAUGUCAAGCGAUCCUGUGAUUUGUAGUGUUUACUGCGGAGUUAUUUAAAGAUUUUGGAAUAAAUAUACAAACUACCAUUGUGAAAUAAAGGUGUAAAUAAAUUGUAUAUUUUG
rnacentral:lncRNA from 1 species